rnacentral:tRNA from 1 species
GGCUGGCUGGCUCAGCUGUGAGAGCAUGGGACUCCUGAUCUCAGGGUUGUGAGUUCAAGCCCACGCUGGGUG